AUUGAACGCUGGCGGCAGGCUUAACACAUGCAAGUCGAGCGGGGUGAUGGUGCUUGCACUAUCACUUAGCGGCGGACGGGUGAGUAAUGCUUAGGAAUCUGCCUAUUAGUGGGGGACAACAUCUCGAAAGGGAUGCUAAUACCGCAUACGUCCUACGGGAGAAAGCAGGGGAUCACUUGUGACCUUGCGCUAAUAGAUGAGCCUAAGUCGGAUUAGCUAGUUGGUGGGGUAAAGGCCUACCAAGGCGACGAUCUGUAGCGGGUCUGAGAGGAUGCUCCGCCACACUGGGACUUAGACACGGCCCACACUCCAGCGGAAGGCAGCAGUGGGGAAUAUUGGACAAUGGGGGGAACCCUGAUCCAGCCAUGCCGCGUGUGUGAAGAAGGCCUUAUGGUUGUAAAGCACUUUAAGCGAGGAGGAGGCUCUUUUGGUUAAUACCCAAGAUGAGUGGACGUUACUCGCAGAAUAAGCACCGGCUAACUCUGUGCCAGCAGCCGCAGUAC
rnacentral:rRNA from 1 species